AGAGACAAGAACAUGUUCACAAGUUUGGGGUCAGUCUGGUCUACGUGGAGAGUUCUAAGCCAGCCAAGGUAGGUGUGGUCUUGCUCUGUUGCAUAGGACCAUAUAGAUCUCCAUCCCCAAAGUUACAGCUGAUGAGCGCUCGAGUGAGCCCUUGAGCGGGCAGGACAGCUGGUACGCAGGUCAGUUUACAGCCUACCAGGGAGCCUGGUGCAAAAGUUCUGUGUGAAAAGCCAACUGUGAUGAGAUCCACCGACCAGAUGUUUUGCCUCAAGAGUCCGAACCCGUCACAUGAGAGAAUUAGUCAGCGGAAUAGAUGCCAAAAGACACACAGAGAGCGUGAGGCAGAAAGUGAACCACCGUCAUUACUGGGAUCAAGUUAACCUCACGGAUUAAGACAGGCCUCCCUCCCUGUCUGUUUGUUCUGGUCAAUCCCCACCAGGGAAGGGAGUUUUCAUGUCCCUCACAUCCAUAUUUUAGCAUGAAACAAAAUUUCAAAUGCCAACACAUUCUGGUUCCAACUUGGAGCUUUGGACAUAACGUCUUGUGCCACUGCCUGCCUACCUUUAAAAAAAUAUUGCUUAUCACAUCACACUAGUGCUAGGCACAGGGCCUGGUACAUGCCUGGAGACCAGUGAAUAACGCAGAAGUGCCCUCUGCCUAUGUCGGGUUGAAUGCCUGUGGUGUUGGUGGAAACCUCCGAGUCCUAACGCCAAAACCACCUGCUUAGAAACUGGAUGCCAACAGCCAAUAGCUGAGCAGAAGAGACAUCAGAGUGGGAGUUCGACCUCUGAUUCUGACACCUUAAUGGAGAUUUUUCUCAACGUUAAGAACCAACACAGAGGCUUCUCACAAGUUUCUCACGAGAUGCUGCCCUUCAGAAGGUGAGGAGGCUUUGCAGAGGCACAGCGUGUGCUUCUUGAUGUGGAAAACAAACCCACAAAAAGCCUCUGGAGCUGGGCAUUCCUUGCCUCACACCACUGAGAGAGGAAACACAAGUUACCAACGCACUCACGGCUAGUAAGAAUCAACCAGGCAGCUGGCAUUCAGAACUCCUCUCCCGGCCUGUGAUCCUCCUGAAGGCAGAGUUCUGGUCACUUCCAGGAUCAAAAGAAAGCUGAGGACGGAUGGGCAGUAAUCCUGUCACACACCCUACAUGAGGGUGAAGGACUGGACGGGCUGCGGCCGGCUUUGCUUUGAGGGCCGCUGCACCGCACAGGAUCUGGAGUGCACAGGAGUUGUGGGGUUGCCAGGCCUGGGCGUCCCUCCAUUAUUUAGCGAUGGUGAGGGGGGCUGACGUGCGGCACCGCAGAGCACUUUCUGGAACCAGCUUCUCGAAGGAGAGGAGGUGAAGGGUUUCGGUUCAAAGGAUGCACACUGUUCCCAGACCUUCCCUUGAGGGAACUUGGGCAGCGUGCUGUCUUUCUUUCUCUGCAGAGGUCUUGCUGGGCCUGCUGCUCAUUUUGUGAAUGUAGGCCAAAGGGAGGCCCCACAGAGCCCGCCCUUAAGCUGCUGUUUUCUCUGACAGGCCUGCAAGCAGGCAAAGAUUUGUUGCCAGUGUGUUCAUUGGCUGAUAGCUCUUCUCUCUGUUUCCCUCUCUCCCACUUUUUCUUCUUCUGUCUCCCCCCCCCCGCCCCCCUCAGAGCUCUGUAUGGCAAGAGUAUCGAGGUCAACCGAUGCACCAAGACCUCACAUAAGUCCCAUUAUCUAGGGAAGUGUCCUAAAUUCAGAAAGUUCUAGGAAAUAGGUGGGCAUGUCGGGCAGCACACAAACCUACUGGGCCAACACUGGACUGUAUUAUUCUACGCUAGAUGGUUUUAUUUUAAUUUUAAAUGUUUUUUUUGGUUUUGAAACAGAGUCUCACAUAGCCCAGAUUACCCUCAGAUUCACUGUGGAGCUGAGGACGAUCUUGAAAUCCCGAUUCUCCUGCCUCCAGCCUGUAAGUGAGCACAGAGAAGCACCCCCACCUCUGCACGAUGCACAGUUUAAACGGCAGCCAUAGGCCCGAUGUCAACGGGUAUUUUGGAUAUCCAUUUGACAUGAGGUCCAUGAAAUCACUUUGUUUUGUGAAUCGGCAAACUGUGUUAGUCAAAUUUCUAUUCUUAUAAUAAAAUACGAGAAACUGUGGGUUUUUUUUUAA